UACAUAGGGGGCCAGCGUUAUUCGGAAUUAUUGGGCGUAAAGGGCGCGUAGGCGGUCAUGCGAGUCUGCCGUGAAAUCCCUCGGCUCAACCGAGGACGUGCGGAAGAAACUGCAAGGCUCGAGUCCGGAAGAGGGGGGCGGAAUUCCCAGUGUAGCGGUGAAAUGCGUAGAUAUUGGGAGGAACACCAGUGGCGAAGGCGGCUCACUGGACCGGUACUGACGCUGAUGCGCGAAAGCGUGGGGAGCAAACGGG
rnacentral:rRNA from 1 species